GAUGAAGAACGCAGCGAAAUGCGAUAAGUAAUGCGAAUUGCAGAAUUUCCGUGAGUCAUCGAAUCUUUGAACGCACAUUGCGCCCACUGGUAUUCCGGUGGGCAUGCCUGUUCGAGCGUCAUUAUCCCCCCUCAAACCCCGUGUUUGGUGUUAGACCCAAGUUGUGUGAACAACUGGUCUCAAAGACAAUGACGGCGUCCGUGGGACCCUCGGUGCAACGAGCUUUUAGGAGCACGAGCUGAGUUUCAAGGACCCUCCGGGCCGGUCUCCUAUUUAUUAUCAAGGUUGACCUCGGAUCAGGUAGGAAUACCCGCUGAACUUAAGCAUAUCAAUAAGCGGAGGA
rnacentral:misc_RNA from 1 species